rnacentral:RNase_P_RNA from 2 species
AGUUCAGUCUGGGCAAUUGCUCCGAUUAGAUCGGAGAGGAAAGUCCGAACUUUUUAGAACAGGAUGCCGGGUAAUUCCCGGGAGUUUCGGGGCAAAUCCCGAAGCGACGGAAAGUGUCGCAGAAAAUAUACCGUCUGGCAAAAGCCGGAUAAGGGUGAAAAGGUGAGGUAAGAGCUCACCGCAAUCUGGGUAACUGGAUUGGCAGGGCAAACCCCAUCCAAAGCAAGAUCAAAUAGGGAAAUCGUUUUCUGCAUAUGCAGAAAGCAGGGUUGUUCGCUCUGCAGGUUUCCGGGUAGAUCGCUAGAUUCCUGCAGUAAUGUAGGAAACAGAUAAAUGAUUGCCGCUGCUUUUGCUGAAACUUUGCGGGCUUAAUUUUAUAAAAAGAUAAUUCUGCAAAGCUCAAGUUUAGCGAAACAGAACAGAAUUCGGCUUACAGGGCUGAACUGUUU